rnacentral:rRNA from 1 species
UUGGAGGGCAAGUCUGGUGCCAGCAGCCGCGGUAACUCCAGCUCCAAUAGCGUAUAUUAAAGUUGUUGCAGUUAAAAAGCUCGUAGUUGAAUUUCGGGAUCAGAGUGUCGGUCGUGCCUCGGUACGCACUGGUAUUAUUGGUUCCUACCUUCUGAAGAACCGCGAUGUCAUUAAUUUGGUGUCGUGGGGAAUCAGGACUGUUACUUUGAAAAAAUUAGAGUGUUUAAAGCAGGCUUACGCUUGAAUACAUUAGCAUGGAAUAAUGAAAUAGGACGUUUGAUUCUAUUUUGUUGGUUUCUAGGAUUGACGUAAUGAUUAAUAGGGAUAGUUGGGGGCAUUAGUAUUCAAUUGUCAGAGGUGAAAUUCUUGGAUUUAUUGAAGACUAACUACUGCGAAAGCAUUUGCCAAGGAUGUUUUCAUUAAUCAAGAACGAAAGUUAGGGGAUCGAAGACGAUCAGAUACCGUCGUAGUCUUAACCAUAAACUAUGCCGACUAGGGAUCGGAUGAUGUUAAUUUUUUAAUGACUCAUUCGGCGCCUUACGGGAAAC